UACGUAGGGUGCAAGCGUUGUCCGGAAUUAUUGGGCGUAAAGCGCUCGUAGGCGGUCUGUCGCGUCGGAUGUGAAAACCCAGGGCUCAACCCUGGGCCUGCAUUCGAUACGGGCAGACUAGAGUUCGGUAGGGGAGACUGGAAUUCCUGGUGUAGCGGUGAAAUUCGUAGAUAUUGGGAAGAACACCGAUGGCGAAGGCAGCCAUCUGGACCAACACUGACGCUGAGGCGCGAAAGCGUGGGGAGCAAACAGG
rnacentral:rRNA from 1 species